rnacentral:misc_RNA from 1 species
CCUCCUUAUACGAUUUAGAACUUAUUUGUUCGUAGUGUCCACACAGAUGAUUGUUAGUUAGUUUGCUCUUUGAGUUUACUAAUUAAUAUGCUCUUUAAAAAUUUGGAAAAGCUGAUAAUAAAAUUCGUAUGAAUGACAUUUGUUAUUUGUACAGAGUUUUCAAAAGUAAAAAAGAAUGAUAGCAGUAUCAUUCAGUGCCAAUUUAAUCUUCGGAUUAAUUGGUAUCUACUUUAGUAUUCAAUAUUAACUUCUGGCGAAGUUAAACUGUCACAAAACAAAGACCCGUUUGGGUAGUAUGGUUAAGUGACUAAGCGUACACGGUGGAUGC